AUGGAGUCCCUGAAUCAGGCGUCGCGAAAGCUGGUGCAAGCAGAGAUCCCCUGCAGCACCGGUAGGCUUCUCAGCGGUGGACAUGCAAGCCAGGCUUCUCUUACUGAAGAAAUCACGGUGGCGCAGGCCACCGAGAGUUCAUCAGAAGUUUCAGCCAACAACCGGGAUGUUCAGGAAACGUCCGCCGGCACCGAAGAGGUCGAGAACCUGAAGCGCGUGGUGUCGGCCCUCGAAGAGCGGGCCGCCGGCAUCGAGUCGCGGUUCCGCGACUACUGUGACAUGCAGGAGCAGGAGUCGACGUACCAGAAGAUGCAGAUCAUGUGCCUGGGGAUGAAGCUGGAGCUGCUGGAGUCCCGGAACCAGCGGCUUGAGGCAGGCGCCACGGAGAUCCGGGCAGCCGCUGAAGAGUUCGCCGUGAUGCGGGCGAAUCUCGACGCGCUGCAGAGCAAAUUCAGGAAAGUUACGAAGCAGAGCAGGCAAGAAUUCGACGCCGUUGAUGGAAGGAUCCUGGCUCUGGAUGCCCGGGAAGCAGAGAUGGCGACGAGGUGCCAGGGCUUUGAGCAACUCAUGGAGGAGAUGAAGCAGCUGGUUUUGCAGAUACAGAAGGAGAAAGGAACAAGCAGUGAGAAUGCGGAGGACGUCGUGGAGAGGAGCAUGCGGAGCGGCAAGGGCCUGCUGGAGGUGCUCCGGGGCCGGUGGGCGGCGGACAUGGAAGAGCUGAUCUACCUCGGCUGGAUCACGGCGUGGCUGCAGCACGACCUGCUGGCCAGCGAUGGCGAGAGCGGGACCGCCAAGGGCACGGCGGUGACUGGAGACCACGACGGUGAAACCAUCCCGACGGCGGAGGGGCAGCGCGAGAAGGGGAUGAAGAUGGUAGCGGCGACCGCGCCGAGCAACGAGGUGAAGCUCUGCAAGACGUCGUCGUGCGGCGCGGCGGAGGAGUCGUGCAUGGGGUUGGCGGGCUGCAGGAUAGGGAUCGGACGGCCGAGAUUGCUCCGCAAGCUCAGAGGGUGGGCCAGGGGAAACGGCCCGAGCAAGAGCAGGAGGCCGUGCGCCAUCGAAGGGCCCAGCAGUUAG
rnacentral:rRNA from 1 species